rnacentral:misc_RNA from 1 species
GAGUUCAUGCCCUUCGGGGUAGAUCUCCCAUCCUUGUGUAUCAUUAUAGAAUGUUGCUUUGGCGGGCCGCGCCUAGUGUGCCUGGAUUCGCGUCCAGCGUGCCCGCCAGAGGACCCCUAAACUCCGAAUGUUAGUGUCGUCUGAGUACUAUUAAAUAGUUAAAACUUUCAACAACGGAUCUCUUGGUUCU